GGGGGUAUAGCUCAGUGGUAGAGCAUUUGACUGCAGAUUAAAAUUAGACCUAUAUCUCUC
rnacentral:tRNA from 1 species